UAAGGAAUAUUGGACAAUGGAGGCAACUCUGAUCCAGCCAUGCCGCGUGAAGGAAUAAGGCCCUAUGGGUUGUAAACUUCUUUUAGACGGGACAAAACCCCUUUACGUGUAAAGGGUUGAUGGUACUGUCAGAAUAAGCAUCGGCUAACUUCGUGCCAGCAGCCGCGGUAAUACGAAGGAUGCAAGCGUUAUCCGGAAUUAUUGGGUUUAAAGGGUGCGUAGGCUGACUAAUAAGUCAGUGGUGAAAGCCUGCAGCUUAACUGCAGAAUUGCCAUUGAUACUGUUAGUCUUGAGUACAGUUGAGGUAGGCGGAAUGUGUCAUGUAGCGGUGAAAUGCUUAGAUAUGACACAGAACACCGAUUGCGAAGGCAGCUUGCUAAGCUGUAACUGACGCUGAGGCACGAAAGCGUGGGGAGCAAACA
rnacentral:rRNA from 1 species